UACGUAGGGGGCAAGCGUUGUCCGGAAUUAUUGGGCGUAAAGCGCGCGCAGGCGGUCAUUUAAGUCUGGUGUUUAAUCCUGGGGCUCAACCCCAGUUCGCAUCGGAAACUGGAUGACUUGAGUGUAGGAGAGGAAAGUGGAAUUCCACGUGUAGCGGUGAAAUGCGUAGAUAUCUGCAGGAACACCCGUGGCGAAAGCGGCGAGCUGGACCACUACUGACGCUGAAGAACGAAAGCUAGGGGAGCAAACAGG
rnacentral:rRNA from 1 species